AGAGUUUGAUCCUGGCUCAGAGCGAACGUUAGCGGCGGGCCUAACACAUGCAAGUCGAACGAGAAUCUAGGCUUCGGCCUAGUAGUAAAGUGGCGGACGGGUGCGUAACACGUGGGUAAUCUACCUUCCGGCGGGGGACAACAGUCCGAAAGGAUUGCUAAUACCGCAUACGUCAGCGGCGCCUACGGGCGCUGUUGGGAAAGAUGGCCUCUCCUUGGAAGCUGUCACCGGAAGAUGAGCCCGCGUCCCAUCAGCUAGUUGGUGAGGUAAUGGCUCACCAAGGCUUAGACGGGUAGCUGGUCUGAGAGGAUGAUCAGCCACACUGGGACUGCGACACGGCCCAGACUCCUACGGGAGGCAGCAGUGGGGAAUAUUGGGCAAUGGGCGCAAGCCUGACCCAGCCACGCCGCGUGAGUGAUGAAGGCCUUCGGGUCGUAAA
rnacentral:rRNA from 1 species